CCUACGGGAGGCAGCAGUGAGGAAUAUUGGUCAAUGGGCGAGAGCCUGAACCAGCCAAGUCGCGUGAGGGAGUACUGCCCUAUGGGUUGUAAACCUCUUUUGUCGGGGAGCAAAAGCCGGACGUGUCCGGCUGUGAGAGUACCCGAAGAAAAAGCAUCGGCUAACUCCGUGCCAGCAGCCGCGGUAAUACGGAGGAUGCGAGCGUUAUCCGGAUUUAUUGGGUUUAAAGGGUGCGUAGGUUGUUUUUUAAGUCAGCGGUGAAAGUUUGUGGCUCAACCAUAAAAUUGCCGUUGAAACUGGAAGACUUGAGUGUGUUUGAGGUAGGCGGAAUGCGUGGUGUAGCGGUGAAAUGCAUAGAUAUCACGCAGAACUCCGAUUGCGAAGGCAGCUUACUAAGCCAUAACUGACACUGAAGCACGAAAGCGUGGGGAUCAAACAGGAUUAGAUACCCCUGUAGUC
rnacentral:rRNA from 1 species